rnacentral:rRNA from 1 species
AGAUGGCGACCGGCGCACGGGUGAGUAACACGUAUCCAACCUGCCGAUAACUCGGGGAUAGCCUUUCGAAAGAAAGAUUAAUACCCGAUGGUAUAAUCAGACCGCAUGGUUUGAUUAUUAAAGAAUUUCGGUUAUCGAUGGGGAUGCGUUCCAUUAGGCAGUUGGUGAGGUAACGGCUCACCAAACCUUCGAUGGAUGGGGGUUCUGAGAGGAAGGUCCCCCACAUUGGAACUGAGACACGGUCCAA